CACGAAGCAAUCGGAAGUGGUUCCAAGAAAAGCCUCUAAGCUUCAGUCAUACGAGACCGUACCGCAAACCGACACAGGUGGGCGAGAUGAGUAUUCUAAGGCGCUUGAGAGAACUCGGGAGAAGGAACUCGGCAAAUUGGUACCGUAACUUCGGGAAAAGGUACGCCCCGGUAGCUUGACUGCUUUACUGCAGAAGGGUGAAAGGGUUGCAAUAAACUGGUGGCUGCGACUGUUUAAUAAAAACACAGCACUCUGCAAACACGAAAGUGGACGUAUAGGGUGUGACGCCUGCCCGGUGCUGGAAGAUUAAAUGAUGGGGUGCAAGCUCUUGAUUGAAGUCCCAGUAAACGGCGGCCGUAACUAUAACGGUCCUAAGGUAGCGAAAUUCCUUGUCGGGUAAGUUCCGACCUGCACGAAUGGCGUAACGAUGGCCACACUGUCUCCUCCCGAGACUCAGCGAAGUUGAAAUGUUUGUGAUGAUGCAAUCUACCCGCGGCUAGACGGAAAGACCCCAUGAACCUUUACUGUAGCUUUGCAUUGGACUUUGAACCAAUCUGUGUAGGAUAGGUGGGAGGCUUUGAAGCGGGGACGCUAGUUCUCGUGGAGCCAACCUUGAAAUACCACCCUGGUUUGUUUGAGGUUCUAACCUUGGUCCGUUAUCCGGAUCGGGGACAGUGCAUGGUAGGCAGUUUGACUGGGGCGGUCUCCUCCUAAAGUGUAACGGAGGAGUUCGAAGGUACGCUAGAUACGGUCGGACAUCGUGUUGAUAGUGCAAUGGCAUAAGCGUGCUUAACUGCGAGACUGACAAGUCGAGCAGGUACGAAAGUAGGACAUAGUGAUCCGGUGGUUCUGUAUGGAAGGGCCAUCGCUCAACGGAUAAAAGGUACUCUGGGGAUAACAGGCUGAUUCCUCCCAAGAGUUCAUAUCGACGGGGGAGUUUGGCACCUCGAUGUCGGCUCAUCACAUCCUGGGGCUGUAGCCGGUCCCAAGGGUAUGGCUGUUCGCCAUUUAAAGUGGUACGUGAGCUGGGUUUAAAACGUCGUGAGACAGUUUGGUCCCUAUCUGCCGUGGGCGUUGGAAAUUUGAAGGGGGCUGCUCCUAGUACGAGAGGACCGGAGUGGACGAACCUCUGGUGUACCGGUUGUCACGCCAGUGGCAUUGCCGGGUAGCUAAGUUCGGAAGAGAUAACCGCUGAAAGCAUCUAAGCGGGAAACUUGCCUUGAGAUGAGAUUUCCCAGAGCCUUGAGCUCUUUGAAGGGUCGUUCGAGACCAGGACGUUGAUAGGCUGGGUGUGGAAGUGCAGUAAUGCAUUAAGCUAACCAGUACUAAUUGCCCGUACGGCUUGUCCCU
rnacentral:rRNA from 2 species